rnacentral:Y_RNA from 1 species
GGCUGGUCCAAGUACAGUGGUGUUUACUACUAAUUGAUCACAACCAGUUUCAGAUUUAUUUGUUCCUUCUGUACUCUCACUGCUUCACUUGACUAGCCUUUA